AGAGUUUGAUCAUGGCUCAGAACGAACGCUGGCGGCAUGCCUAACACAUGCAAGUCGAACGAGAAGCUAUCUUCGGAUAGUGGAAAGUGGCGCACGGGUGAGUAACGCGUGGGAACCUGCCCUGAGGUUCGGAAUAACGAUUGGAAACGAUCGCUAAUACCGGAUGAGCCCUGAGGGGGAAAGAUUUAUCGCCUUGGGAGGGGCCCGCGUCCGAUUAGCUUGUUGGUGUGGUAACGGCGCACCAAGGCUUCGAUCGGUAGCUGGUCUGAGAGGAUGAUCAGCCACACUGGGACUGAGACACGGCCCAGACUCCUACGGGAGGCAGCAGUGGGGAAUAUUGGACAAUGGGGGCAACCCUGAUCCAGCAAUGCCGCGUGUGUGAAGAAGGCCUUAGGGUUGUAAAGCACUUUCAGUCGUGACGAUGAUGACG
rnacentral:rRNA from 1 species